rnacentral:rRNA from 1 species
AACGAACGCUGGCGGCAUGCCUAACACAUGCAAGUCGAACGAGACCUUCGGGUCUAGUGGCGCACGUGUGCGUAACGCGUGGGAACCUGCCCUUAGGUUCGGAAUAACUCCCCGAAAGGGGUGCUAAUACCGGAUAAUGUCUUCGGACCAAAGAUUUAUCGCCUUUGGAUGGGCCCGCGUUGGAUUAGCUAGUUGGUAGGGUAAAAGCCUACCAAGGCGACGAUCCAUAGCUGGUCUGAGAGGAUGAUCAGCCACACUGGGACUGAGACACGGCCCAGACUCCUACGGGAGGCAGCAGUGGGGAAUAUUGGACGAUGGGCGAAAGCCUGAUCCAGCAAUGCCGCGUGAGUGAUGAAGGCCUUAGGGUUGUAAAGCUCUUUUACCCGGGAUGAUAAUGACAGUACCGGGAGAAUAAGCUCCGGCUAACUCCGUG